rnacentral:rRNA from 1 species
UGCUGCUGAUUGUAGCCGGAUAAGAUUUUAAUUGAAUGCUAAGAGAAUGGAAGUCCAGAAAAAAACUUUUUUUAAAUUAAAAAUUGAAGUUUUUUUAAUUUGUGCAGAAACAAUUAUUUAUAUUAAAGACAAGAAGACCCUAUGAAUUUAUUAAAUUUUUAUUUAAUAUGUAAUUACUAUUAGAAAAAUUUUGGCUGGGGCGGCUAGAAAAUAUUAUAAACUUUUUAAAAAUAAAAUGAUCCAUUAUUAAUGAUUUUAUGUUAAAUACUCUAGGGAUAACAGCGUUAUAUUUUUUGAUAGAUCAUAUUGACAAAAAAGUUUGCGACCUCGAUGUUGGAUUAGGAUACUUUUUUAAUGAAGAUAUUAAAAAAAGAAGUUUGUUCAACUUUUAAUUUCCUACUUGAUCUGAGUGUCAGACCGGAG